CAAGCAGAUCUCUAUGAAUUUGAGUCCUACCUGGUCUACAUAGCAAAUUCAGGGCCAGCCAAGACAACACAAUGGAGGUUAGUUAUCAAAUGUUUCAUUGUCAGAAAACCAGAGAAGUUAGGACUUACCUGAGAGCAUUCCAAACUCCCUGUUUUAAGCAAGAGAUGAUUGCUCCUGCUGUAGCAUGGAGGUCUGAAACCGGGAGGCAAGAAUGGAUGUAUGGGACUGCUGUUCAGUUUAGUAGUAGAGCAUUUACCUCACACAGGAGAGGCCUUGGGUUCACCCUCAGCAUUGGGGGAAAGUAUGGACAUAGAAUUUGAUGCAGGUUUUGAAAGCAACAAAAUCAGGACUGGGUUAUGCUAGGCCCAAGGUGCUAGGGUGCUAAAGACUCAGUGGUUGGGGCUAGAGAGAUGGCUCAGCGGUUAAGAGAACUGACUGCUCUCCCAGAGGUCCUGAGUUCAAUUCCCAGCAACCACAUAGUGGCUCACAACCAUCUGUAAUGGGAUCAGAUGCCUUCUUCUGGUGUGUCUGAAGACAGCUACAGUGUACUCGUAUAUAAAUAAAUAAAUCUUUAAAGAAAAAAGGGGGGGUUGGGGAUUUAGCUCAGUGGUAGAGCGCUUGCCUAGCAAGCACAAGGUCCUGGGUUCGGUCCCCAGCUCCGAAAAAAAGAAAAAAAAAAAAAAAAAGUCAUCCUAGGCUAUAUGGGAGUUUGAGGCCAGCCUAGUCUUCAGGAGACCCUAUGUCAAGAAACCAAACGUGAAUAAAUACAAAGGCUGGAGCAGAGUCUCUAAAAAUACGUAGUGAUGCCUCACGGUAAAGGUGCCAAAGCAGAAAGGUGGAACAGACAGGAGAAACAGAGCAACAGCCCUGAGAUCCCGAGGCAGGCUGCAGGACAGCGCUUCAGAAUGGAACCUUCCUCCUCAGUUCUGGGUAAAGCAGAGGGGGAGCCAAGAUUCCUUGGGGGAGGGGCGAUUGCAUGUAGAACCUGAACAAGCGGGCAGCUGCUUCCUGGAUACCGAUGCCAUCGUACUGGUGUGCCCAGGAAAGGCACCAGGGUUGAAGGCAACAGGAUUUGGUUGGCCACUUUUGGCUCCUACAGUCUCAGAAUGACAGUCUCUGUGUCUGUCUAUUGUUCUGUCUCUCUGCCUAUCUGUCUGUCUUUUCUUACUGUGCCAUCCGAGCAGCCUACUGUAUGUCUAGAUGAAAACAGCUCUAGCUGGAUGUGGUGACAGGACUGUCUCUGAGGUCGUUGCCGCCUAUGAGAACUGAACAGGAUUCAAUUCAGAAGCUCUUCUAUACUGAACAGGUCGGGCAGGACCAGAACCUGCCUUAGUGAGAUAGACCACAGACACGCACUUCAACCUUGGCUGGAGCUGCUGAGAGAAAAAGCAGGUAGGCUGGGAGUGCAAUAUUUAAAUUGUCACUGGAAAAAUGAGAAGACAUUGGCUGAGGAAGACAAGGCCUCCAGGCAGAGGGGACUGCCUGUAAGAAGCAUCUGAAGCAAGGAAUUUGGCUCCUGUGAGGAUGUGAGGCCAUGGGAGUUCUCCUGGGACCAGAUUAUACUUGGCAGGCUGGGAAGAACAGUUUGAAGAGAAACAAGAAUUCCACGGAGAGUUAGACGGAGCAGAGAGCAUGGGGACCCUGGGGAGUUAGCAGGGCACUCGGGACUCUGUGUUAUCAGAGGGCAGAACAAUGGAGAGAAGGCUCAGCGGUUAAGAGCACUGACUGCUCUUCCAGAGGUCCUGAGUUCAAUUUCCAGCAACCACAUCAGGGUGGCUCACAACCAUCUGUAAUGGGAUCCGAUGCCCUCCCUCUUCUGGUGUGAUUGAACAGCUACAGUGUACUCACAUACAUAAAAUAAAUCCUAAAAAAUUAAAA